CUGACAGACUUUAUAAAAUAACCCACCUUCUGCGAGCUUGAAUGUCCCUUUCUUCUGUAGGAGAAUCAUCCAUCACUAUCGCAUCCGUGCUCUCUCCAAUCAUCGAGCAAGCCUCCAUCUCCUGAUUCCUCCUUACACCCGAGUCUUAAAUGAGGCAAUUCCAAAUCUACUGUAAUCUUAAAUUGGGUUAACCGAUGAGCCCCUACCUGCCCAGUUUGGAUCCACGAGGCUCGGGGCUCUGGGCUUGUUUCUGAGGCUGCUACUACACAGCAGCAGCACCGGGGCUGUUUGGGUUAAUCUGCCUCGAGCUGCGCUCUGAUUGGCGGAGGCGCGGUGAUGCUGAGGACGCUGCCUGGUCGGUGUCCAACCGGCCGCGGUGCUGUAACUCAGAGUGACGGAGAGACUGAGAGUCGGUGAAGGCAUCAUUGGCUCUGACGGGAGCUAUGGAUGUUGGUAAAUAGAUUUUAAGAAGGUACAAAGACAACACGUUCCGUUUUAUACAGUCACAGAACCAAGGAGAGCUCCAGCUGCUGAUAACAACUACAUACUGUGACAGUGCUACAUUGCUUUAACUAAUGAGGCCCAAACUGUGAACUGAGCCAUAAGGUGAAGUCAUUUUACCUCUGAAAUGCAGUGGAGCAGUCUGCUGUGGGGCUGAAAACUAAUGAAAAGUAAACUAAUCAUUCUGGUGGUGGCUGGUGAGGGUGACUGCUUAAAUUGUG